rnacentral:rRNA from 1 species
UGGGGAAUAUUGCACAAUGGGCGCAAGCCUGAUGCAGCCAUGCCGCGUGUGUGAAGAAGGCCUUCGGGUUGUAAAGCACUUUCAGCGGGGAGGAAGGCGAUAAGGUUAAUAACCUUGUCGAUUGACGUUACCCGCAGAAGAAGCACCGGCUAACUCCGUGCCAGCAGCCGCGGUAAUACGGAGGGUGCAAGCGUUAAUCGGAAUUACUGGGCGUAAAGCGCACGCAGGCGGUUUGUUAAGUCAGAUGUGAAAUCCCCGGGCUCAACCUGGGGACUGCAUCUGAUACUGGCAAGCUUGAGUCUCGUAGAGGGGGGUAGAAUUCCAGAUGUAGCGGUGAAAUGCGUAGAGAUCUGGAGGAAUACCGGUGGCGAAGGCGGCCCCCUAGACAAAGACUGACGCUCAGGUGCGAAAGCGUGGGGAGCAAACAGG